AUAGAGACUCAGAGCUGCAUAUCAAUAAGCGGAGGAAAAGAAACUAACAAGGAUUCCCUUAGUAACGGCGAGUGAAGCGGGAAGAGCUCAAAUUUGAAAUCUUCAAGGUUCUACCUUGACGAAUUGUAGUUUAAAGAAGUGUUUUCUGUUAGAUGAGUAGCAAAAGUUCCUUGGAAUGGGACAUCAUAGAGGGUGAGAAUCCCGUAUUUGGUCAUUCCUCCUAGCUUUGUGAUACACUUUCAACGAGUCGGAUUGUUUGGGAAUGCAGUCCAAAAUGGGUGGUAAAUUUCAUCUAAAGCUAAAUAUUGGCGAGAGACCGAUAGCGAACAAGUACCGUGAGGGAAAGAUGAAAAGAACUUUGAAAAGAGAGUUAAACAGUACGUGAAAUUGUCAAAAGGGAAGCGUUUGACACCAGUGUUGUUUUCUCGAAAAUCAAUUAAGAAUGGCUUGAUUUUGUGUUGUAUUGACCUUAUCAGCUUUCUGCACUUUUUUCGAGUCUUUCUUAAUGCACUUUUCGGUUAACAAGUCAACAUCAAUUUCUUUUGUUGUAAAAGAGUAUUCGGAAGGUGGCUUUCUUUUCGGAGAAAGUGUUUAUAGCCCUAUACUUCUACAAUCGGAGAGAUUGAGGUCUGCAGCGUAGAUCCUUCGGGGUUAGAUACACUUGUGCUAAGUUGUAGCUUUUCAUAGACAACUUGUUGACUAUGUUUAGUCAUGCGGCUUACUCGCUUGUGCUAUUUUACCUACGCUUAGGAUGUUGACGAUCAGCUGAGCGCG
rnacentral:rRNA from 1 species